UACGAAGGGGGCUAGCGUUGCUCGGAAUCACUGGGCGUAAAGGGUGCGUAGGCGGUUGUUUAAGUUUGGUGUGAAAUCUCCCGGCUCAACUGGGAGGGUGCGCCGAAUACUGAAUGACUAGAGUGCGGGAGAGGAGAGUGGAAUUCCUGGUGUAGCGGUGAAAUGCGUAGAUAUCAGGAGGAACACCGGUGGUGUAGACGGCUCUCUGGACCGUAACUGACGCUGAGGCACGAAAGCGUGGGUAGCAAGCAGG
rnacentral:rRNA from 1 species